UGCGGGGUAGAGCAGCCUGGUAGCUCGUCGGGCUCAUAACCCGGAGGUCGUAGGUUCGAAUCCUACCCCCGCUA
rnacentral:tRNA from 2 species